UAAGUCCGGUAACGAGCGCAACCCCUAUGUUUAGUUGCCAGCACGUAAAGGUGGGAACUCUAAAGAGACUGCCGGCGACAAGCCGGAGGAAGGUGGGGAUGACGUCAAGUCAUCAUGGCCCUUAUAUCCUGGGCUACACACAUGCUACAAUGGUUGGUACAAUGGGUCGCUAAGCCGUGAGGUGGAGCCAAUCCCAUCAAAGCCAAUCUCAGUUCGGAUUGCAGGCUGAAACUCGCCUGCAUGAAGUUGGAAUCGCUAGUAAUCGUGGAUCAGCAAUGCCACGGUGAAUACGUUCCCGGGCCUUGCACACACCGCCCGUCACACCACGAAAGUUGGUUCUACCCGAAAUGGCUGUGCUAACCCGCAAGGGAGGCAGGCUCCUAAGGUAGGGCUGGUAAUUGGGGUGAAGUCGUAACAAGGUAGCCGUAGGGGAACCUGCGGCUGGAUCACCUCCUUUUUAUGGAGA
rnacentral:rRNA from 1 species